rnacentral:rRNA from 1 species
GCAAGUCGAGCGAGAAAGUUUCUUCGGAAGCGAGUAAAGCGGCGGACGGGUGAGUAACGCGUAGGAAUCUACCAUUCAGUGGGGGAUAGCUCGGGGAAACCCGAAUUAAUACCGCAUAUACCCUAAGGGGGAAAGAGGGCCUAUCCUUGGAAGCUCUUGCUGUUUGGUGAGCCUGCGUGAGAUUAGUUUGUUGGUGAGGUAAUGGCUCACCAAGACUACGAUCUCUAGCUGGUCUGAGAGGACGAUCAGCCACACUGGGACUGAGACACGGCCCAGACUCCUACGGGAGGCAGCAGUGGGGAAUAUUGGACAAUGGGGGCAACCCUGAUCCAGGCAUGCCGCGUGUGUGAAGAAGGCCUUCGGGUUGUAAAGCACUUUAGGUAAGGAAGAAAAGUUAUUGGUUAAUACCCAAUAACCAUGACAUUACUUACAGAAUAAGGACCGGCUAACUCCGUGCCAGCAGCCGCGGUAAUACGGAGGGUCCAAGCGUUAAUCGGAAUUACUGGGCGUAAAGCGCGCGUAGGCGGUUUGACAAGUUGGGUGUGAAAUCCCCGGGCUUAACCUGGGAACUGCAUUCAAAACUUUUAAACUGGAGUACGGGAGAGGAGAGUAGAAUCCAUGGUGUAGCGGUGAAAUGCGUAGAUAUCAUGAGGAAUACCAAUGGCGAAGGCAACUCUCUGGACCGUAACUGACGCUGAGGUGCGGAAGCGUGGGUAGCAAACAGGAUUAGAUACCCUGGUAGUCCACGCCGUAAACGAUGACAACUAGCCGUUGGACUUUCGAGUUCAGUGGCACAGCUGACGCAUUAAGUUGUCCGCCUGGGGAGUACGGCCGCAAGGCUAAAACUCAAA